AUUGAACGCUGGCGGAAUGCUUUACACAUGCAAGUCGAACGGCAGCACGGGUGCUUGCACCUGGUGGCGAGUGGCGAACGGGUGAGUAAUGCGUCGGAACGUACCGAGUAAUGGGGGAUAACGCACCGAAAGGUGUGCUAAUACCGCAUACGCCCUGAGGGGGAAAGUGGGGGAUCGUAAGACCUCACGUUAUUCGAGCGGCCGACGUCUGAUUAGCUAGUUGGUGGGGUAAUGGCCUACCAAGGCGACGAUCAGUAGCUGGUCUGAGAGGAUGAUCAGCCACAUUGGGACUGAGACACGGCCCAAACUCCUACGGGUGGCAG
rnacentral:rRNA from 1 species